GCGCCAGGUGCCCGCCCAGCCCGCCGCAGUGACGUCCUAGGCCCUGCCGCCUCCGUUCCAUGGGUAAAGGCCGCAGACGGGAGGAGAGGCCUGUCGUGGGAAAUGCGGCUCUGUGGCGACGCGCACGGUGAUAGGAAGAAUCUUGGGUUUCAGGGGGACGCCCCGCUAACCCCUCAAAUCUGGACGGCGCGGCGGUGUUUACGAGGCACUUUCACUCGUUGCGCACAUGUUUACUGAGUGCAGACCCGUGCCAGGCCCCGUGCUGGGCAGGGGAAAGGAGGAUGGAGAUGCGACCAGGCUGCCUAGUGGGGAGACGGAUGAGGAAAAGGGCCAUGACGAUGUUCCUCUCACUCCUUACUUUUCCUGGUCCGUGCUCAUCACUGUUAGGCAUUCUUCUGAACUCAUUGAGCCCUCGGAACGCUACAAGAUGGCUGGCAUGGAGCGGGAGCAGAGUCUGGGCAGGAUGCGGGGCAGGAAUGGGAGGAGUUAGACGGAAGCUGCCGGAAACUCAAGGUCGUCUUUGCCUCCUGACAGGACUGCACCUAAGAGAGCGUGACACUUCACAGGCUAACUCUGGACCCUUUGGAGUAUUCCUGGCCGGCUUGGUGGCCUUGCAGGGAUUGGCAAGCCCACGUUAAAGAGAAGAAAGUCAUGGCUCUGGAGGGCAAUGUGACACAUUUUUUUUUGUUUGUUUUGCCUGUAGGCAAUAAAAAUUAAAGCAUCA